UGAGUUUGAUCAUGGCUCAGGAUGAACGCCGGCGGUGUGCCUAAUACAUGCAAGUCGUACGCACUGGCCCAACUGAUUAAUGGUGCUUGCACCUGAUUGACGAUGGAUCACCAGUGAGUGGCGGACGGGUGAGUAACACGUAGGUAACCUGCCCCGGAGCGGGGGAUAACAUUUGGAAACAGAUGCUAAUACCGCAUAACAACAAAAGCCACAUGGCUUUUGUUUGAAAGAUGGCUUUGGCUAUCACUCUGGGAUGGACCUGCGGUGCAUUAGCUAGUUGGUAAGGUAACGGCUUACCAAGGCGAUGAUGCAUAGCCGAGUUGAGAGACUGAUCGGCCACAAUGGAACUGAGACACGGUCCAUACUCCUACGGGAGGCAGCAGUAGGGAAUCUUCCACAAUGGGCGCAAGCCUGAUGGAGCAACACCGCGUGAGUGAAGAAGGGUUUCGGCUCGUAAAGCUCUGUUGUUGGAGAAGAACGUGCGUGAGAGUAACUGUUCACGCAGUGACGGUAUCCAACCAGAAAGUCACGGCUAACUACGUGCCAGCAGCCGCGGUAAUACGUAGGUGGCAAGCGUUAUCCGGAUUUAUUGGGCGUAAAGCGAGCGCAGGCGGUUGCUUAGGUCUGAUGUGAAAGCCUUCGGCUUAACCGAAGAAGUGCAUCGGAAACCGGGCGACUUGAGUGCAGAAGAGGACAGUGGAACUCCAUGUGUAGCGGUGGAAUGCGUAGAUAUAUGGAAGAACACCAGUGGCGAAGGCGGCUGUCUGGUCUGCAACUGACGCUGAGGCUCGAAAGCAUGGGUAGCGAACAGGAUUAGAUACCCUGGUAGUCCAUGCCGUAAACGAUGAGUGCUAGGUGUUGGAGGGUUUCCGCCCUUCAGUGCCGGAGCUAACGCAUUAAGCACA
rnacentral:rRNA from 1 species